CUUUUGGCGAGGGACAACCACUGGAAACGGUGGCUAAUACCUCAUAUUGCUGAGAAGUGAAAGAUGAAUAAUCACCAAAAGACGGGCUUGCGUCUGAUUAGCUAGUUGGUGGGAUAAUAGCUUACCAAGGCGACGAUCAGUAGCUGGUCUGAGAGGAUGAUCAGCCACACUGGGACUGAGACACGGCCCAGACUCCUACGGGAGGCAGCAGUGAGGAAUUUUCCGCAAUGGGCGAAAGCCUGACGGAGCAAUGCCGCGUGAAGGAUGACGGCCUAUGGGUUGUAAACUUCUUUUCUCAGAGAAGAAUAUUGACGGUAUCUGAGGAAUAAGCAUCGGCUAACUCUGUGCCAGCAGCCGCGGUAAGACAGAGGAUGCAAGCGUUAUCCGGAAUGAUUGGGCGUAAAGCGUCUGUAGGUGGUUUAGCAAGUCUGCUGUUAAAGAUCAGGGCUUAACCCUGGGAAGGCAGGGGAAACUACUAGACUAGAGUUCGGUAGGGGCAGAGGGAAUUCCCGGUGGAGCGGUGAAAUGCGUAGAGAUCGGGAGGAACACCAAAGGCGAAAGCACUCUGCUGGGCCGAGACUGACUCGGACGAGACGAGAGCUAGGCAAGCCAAGCUCAUUAGAUACCCCAGUAGUCACG
rnacentral:rRNA from 1 species